rnacentral:snRNA from 1 species
GUGCCCGCUUCAGCAGCACAUAUGCUAAAACUGGAACGAUACAGAGAAGAUAAGCAUGGCCCCUGUGCAAGGGUGACACGCAAAUUCGUGAAGCGUUCCAUAUUUUU